UUAAGUCAAAUUUGUAUGGAGUUAGAACAGCUUCCCCCCGUGUGCCGCUAGGGGCGCUGUUCCAACUCCAUACAAAUUUGAGUUA
rfam:Bombyx mori DNA, contig: Bm_scaf33_contig20238, strain: p50T/Dazao, build 2, whole genome shotgun sequence.